GCCAUAUCACAUUGAAACACCGGUUAGCAUACAAUCCCUGAAGUUAAGCAACGUCAAGCCUGGUCAGUACCUAAAUGGGUGAUUGCUUGGGAAUACCAGGUGCUGUU